CAGGCCGAUGUGACCCUGUGGGACACUCACCUAUGGCGGUCCGCGCCGCUGAGAUGAUGACGACGGGGUCCGAGCCUGCAUUCAUCCUGUAGCUCCGAGGUCUGCUAGCUCUCAGCCCGGCGCUCUCUGCGACUGAGGUGAACUUUUGGACCUAGCUUAACCUUUUCCGGAUUGGCAUCUCCAGUCUCUUCUGGAAGGUCCUCCUCCUCAUCGCUGACAGCUUUUGAGCGCGUAGCCUCUUUACUAACAGAGAUCCUUAGAGCAGUGUAUCUCUGCUGUCCAAUCCUUUCGUACUUACUCAACCAAAUGUCUGCAGAGGCAAGAAGAGGAUGCUGGAUCCCCUGGAACUGGAAUCGCAGACGGUUGUGAGCUACCCCGUGGUUGCUAGGUACCAAACCCAGUCUCUGCAGGGGCAGUUAAGUGCUCUUCACCCUGUGCCCUCUACUUUCCCACUACUCUGGCCACUCUCCAGUCCCCUUUGUGGCUUUACUCUGACUGCCCCUCACCCAACUUUGCAGCAGCUUCCUGGGAAACAGCAUGUCCACCCACCCCAUCACUUCAGUCACCACCCAUUAUGCUAACAACUCUGGAAUCCUAACUUUGUUGCCUGUGAGCAGACUGGCCCUCUCUAAACUUUCUAUGACAACUUAUCACAUCUAACCCAAACUCAUAUUUACUUCUUUUGUUUAUUUCUUCUGACUGAAGAAAGUCACAGGGAGUAAUGUGACCUUCUGUUAGCUAAGCUAGAAAUCUCUGGAACUCCAUUUAGGCUUUACUUCCUCCAGGAAGCCUUCCUAAAUUCUACCCUCUGCUCUUAUACCUAGUCUUUGUACUUAACCAAAUAAUUCUUAGUUUCUAGCUUUCUCUAUCAUGCUGUACAAUGGACUCUGGACCCCUUCUUACACUGUCUUAUUAUCUAUGCCUACCAGUUUAGGUAGCAAAGCUAACGAGCACUAAUGUAUUCCUCGUGUUCUGUGCAUUGAGUACAUGGAUAUGAGUGGGGUGGUGACAUGGGCCUAGAGGCUGAGCAUUUGGAAAACUGACAAAGGAGAAUGAGGAGCUCAAGGGGACACGGGGCUACAUGAGCCUUGGUUUCCCCUUGAGACACAGGUCUGUGGAGUUUGCUCACCAACUGUAAAGCAUUUGUGCUAACAAGAGGACCAGAGUUUGGAUUCUGAGAGAAACUGGAGGUAAAUGUUGGGUGGAUAUGAAGGUCUACCUAUAAUUCUAGUCUCAAGACUAGAUCCGUGGACUGGAACAAGCUGGGCAAGUUAGAUUGGCUGUAUUGCUUACCUGCUGGCAUACAAAUCAAUCAUGCCCCAAAAGAAGAUAGAAACCAGUACAUGAGUAGGCUAAGAGGUUGUUGGAUCUUCUGGGACUGGAUUAGGCUGUCAGCUGCCCUGUAAGUCCUAGGAACUGAACUCUGGUUCUCUGGAAGAACAGUAAGUGCUCUUGAGGAAGAUCUCAGACAUUGAUCUCAGGCCUCCACACAUAAACAAUCAUGAAAAAAUGUGCAGGAAUAUUUUCUUCUAAGGACAAGGUGUGUGUUCACUUGUCUCCUUCCUGGAGGCUUCACCGGGAGUAUGCAGUGCCAACUGCUUUUGUUGAAUGAUCAAAGAGAAGUCUUCAUUUUAGCUCCUUAUAAUGGUCUACUGAGAGAUGUGCCAGAUGCAAGCCAAAGAUAAUGAGUGGAGUAAAGAAUAAGAGAAUAGUUUUUACUUUUCUGUUUUCAUUUUAUUAUUCUGGUUUACAGUUCCAAAGAGAUAGUCCAUUAUGUCAGAAAGGCAUGGCAACAGGCAGAGGAAACAGGGCAGAAGGAAACUGCUACUGGUCACAUUCUAAUCUUUACCUGAAGCCGAGAGCUAGAAUACUUUUAUUGUUGCUGUUUUAAACUUUUUUCUACUGUUGUUUUCCCUUUUUUUUGAGAAAGUUUGUGUAGCCUUGGUUGUCCUAGAACUUGUUCUGUAAGCCAGGCCAGCCUUAAACUCAGAGACCCACUGUCUCAGCCUACCAAGUACUGGGAUUAAAGAUGUGCGCCACCACUGCUUAGCUCUUUUGUUUUUGAGACAGGGAUUAUGUAGUUUUGGCUGGUCUGGAACUAUGUAGACCAAACUGACUUCCAAACUAUAUUCUCCUGCCUCUGCUUCCUGAGUAUUGAGAUUAAAGGUUUGUAUCACGAUGCCCAGUAUUUUUUUCUUAAAUAUUUGUGCAUGUGUGCGUGCACAUGUGUGCAGGGGCCUAUGGAGACCGCAGAGGGCUUUGGAUCUCCUAAAAUUGGGAGUUAUAGAUUGUUGUGAGCUGCAUUGUGGAUGGCAAUGGAACCCAAGUUCUUUCCAAGAGCACUACUUGCCCCUCAUUGCUGAGUCAUCUCUCCAGCCCCUACAAUUGUUUCAUAAAUAACACUUAGAUCUAAAUUCAUAUGCAAUUAGGCUGGGGGGAAAAUAAUUUAGUAGUACUACAGACUGCUAUUUGUCCUGAAGGAGUUUUUCAAUCAUUCAGGGCUUGUUUCAUGAUUAGUUACAGAAGUCCAACUGUCAGGAAAAUGCUGUUUCAUGAAUAUUGUUUUUACAAAAGCCAUAUUAAACACAGUUGAAAGGAUAAGCUCAUCUGCUAAAGUGUCUUUCUAAUAUGCACAUUUUACACAUGCUCACAUUCAUUUUCUCAAUACUAGUACUCUGACAUAGUAGCUUCAGAUUGGCCUUCAUUUCUCAAUCCUGUUUCAUUCUCUCAAAAGUGUUUCAAUUAAACAGCAUCAAACAGCUACCACCACAAUCAACUUUUCACUCACAGAACUGAGGCUAUGACAACUGGCCAUCUUCCAAUGCUAGACUUAGUGCUACUUUUGAUUCUUUUUGCCCAUAAAUUUUUUUUUUUUCUUUUUGGGAUAACCUGGGCUGGGACCAUGCUAAGUAAGCAGUCUACCACUGAGCCACACCCCUAUUCUCAAAUUACUUCCAAGGGCUGUAUUUAACCAAGCUUGUUGCCUUAGCCUGACAUUCCUAACUAUAUACUUAAGCUUUUAUGAUUUACAUUCUUACUGCAAAACCAUCAGGCUCAUCAUUUCUGGCUCCAAUCUCCAAAUAUUUGGCACAGCAACCUCAAAGACUGUCCUCCAUUCAGGUUUGUUUCUUCUUUUCUUCCUUUUAUUCAAAAGUGUGAAGGGAGGCAGGAAAACAUUAAGGGCUGAUCUCAGAAUCACGGGUUGGGUGACCUGCCAGCGUAAGAAUAGAUGUUGUCAAGGGAACAAUUUAGUCCCCUAAGUGUUACAGAAGUAUUGGAGGGUCCCCAUUGUCAUUGCCACCUUUUAUGAAAAGAACGAUGGCAAACUAAGGAUGAUAUAAAUCUGGCAGAUGCAUGGGUAGGGAAGAGGAAGAGAGGAGGUGGGCAGAAAGGGAAGAGAUGGCACAGCUGUUAAGGGUACUUGCUUCUCAUGUCCACACCCACACUCAGGAUAUUCCUUAGGAGUGCUUUAAAGCAAAUGUCUCUGAGUAGUAAAGAUACACCUCAACCCUGAAAAAUCAGAUCUCAAGAACAAAUUGCUCUUCAAUUAAAACCUAAAAAUUAGCUUUUAAUCCCUUGAACUAUAGUCAAACUCCCACUUCAUUCUGCAAAGAAAAGUGCAAAUUAAAAUUAGAUACAUAGACUUAAUGCAGACUGUUUUAAUUUGACCUUUGUAUAUGUUACAGGGUAAGUAGGAAUUCAGCCAUUCAGUGAAAAUAAAGGACAAUUGCUAAACACACCCAAGACAAAAGGAAAAACCCCAGGAGUUACAAUAAAAAUUUUUAUUUAGGUUUGGUCAGUACAGGUGAGAUAUACUGGAGUCACAGGGCAAUAUGCAUUAACAGGACACAACAAUUCAUAAAAACUUAGUAACUAUGCACACGGAUUUCUUAAACAUUCAGUUCAGCUAAAGAUGAAUGCACAGAUGUAUGGUGGAAAAACUAUCUAACGCUGAAACUACUAUAGGACUCACAUCCAACUCUUUAGUGAUAAAACUACUGUACUGGGCACACUCGGCGGUCCUAAGCCCACAUCUACUCUAACAAGUCUGAAUGGUGCAUGAGUAACAACAGCGUGAGGAAGAGUGCCCUGACAGCACAGGUUCUAGAUAGACAGAUUUAUACAGACGUCACUGCUAUAGAUUCCCAUUUACAACUUCACAUUAACUCAUAUAAAAAUAACUUGACCCUACACAAAAUGUCCUUUUAGCAAUGUUCAAAGUAAUUAACUGUUACAAUUUUCAAAGUAGCAGAGGUAUUGAAGCAAUUAAAAAAAAAAAAAAAAGAACCAAACAAAACAAAAA